rnacentral:lncRNA from 1 species
AUUGACGCAUCUCAAGCUCCGACGAACUCCAUGACGCAUCUUCGAGCUCCUACAUCUCCGAGCUCUCUCUCUUGAUCUCUGACAUCUCCGAGCUCUCUCUCUCUCGAUCUCCGACGCAAACCCAAUGCUCUCUCUCUCUGACGCAGACCUCAGCUCGAGCUCUCUUCUCCGGCUCGAGCUCUCUCAUCUUCGGCUCGAGCUCUCUCAUCUCAUCUCUGACGCUGACCACGAGCUCUCUCAUCUCCUCCGAUUUUGGUUUCAAGCAUUGUUGAGGUAACUAAGACAAGAAGAAGCUGUUUUUGUGUUUCAUGAGUUUUUGAGAAUGGGUUUUGGAUCUGAUGGCGAAAGAGAGUGGGUUUGUUCUGAUGUAAUCUUUUGUGUCUUGUGAUAGACUGAUAGGAUUUGUGUUGUCUGUGUACAAUUAAGCCGAUUCUCUAGAUUAAGCAUGUCUUUAUUCAUUUUCUCUGUUGAUUUUGAUUCUGUUAUCAGUGUCUUGCUACUGUUUUUGAAGUUUAUUGGGACUGAAUAUUAAUGAUAAUUGAAGUUCUGAAUCCAGAAUACUUGGUAUUCCUCGUAUAGAAUCUGAAGUUGAAGGUUCUAAGCUUUUGUUUUGUUCUAGCUGAAGUGGUGGCUACUUGCUACUGAGUUAAGUGGAAAAGAGAGGUAUAAAGGAGACAGACUUUGUUGUUGAAGGUACAAUUUAAACUAGGAAUCAGAGCAGAUUAGUUGUACAGUAAUCUAUUUGUUUGCUCCUUAGUGAUUAACUUGUUUGCCCUACUUCCUAGUUUUAGGUUCACUUUGUCGUAGUGGUCUUUGUGUCUUUAUUGAUGGUUUAGUUUGUUGGAACUUAAGUUGACCAAAAAAUAAAAAAAGUUUGUUGGAACUUUACUUGAUUGUGGAUUAAUCUGCUCUGUUUCCUAGUUUCUAGACUCAGUUUUUUUUCUUGUGGUUUUAAUAUGCUUUGUCACAUAAUUUUAUCUUCUUCAAGCUUCCUAGUACUUGUUUGGUUUUCUUGGUUGGUUGGUUGCUUGUCUUGUUAUGUAAUCUUGCUUUAAAUCAACGAUCCAAAACUUGUGCAUAUUAUAGUCUUGUUGUGGAAAGUGCAGAUGUUGUAUCCAAGCUUGUGAAGUUUGCUGAACAAAGCAGAGCCAUGAAGGAAAUGUUUGGUCUGGCCUUCACGCAUCCUUGUUGACAUCAAGAAAAUUCUUUAUGAGUUUAUUUGUUUGUCAGUGUUAAAAAAGAAGAGUUUAUUUGUUUGUCUUUUGAUUUUGAAGAAGCCAGCCAACAUUGUGAAACUGAUGUAUUUUUCAGUCGAUAAUCUUUUGUACCAUAAACAUGUAAACAUAAUCUCAAACUGACACAUCUAAUGAAAUCUGUUGACCAAAGUUACAGUAAAAAAAAAGAGAGCUGCAGUCAAAAUUCUUUUAUGGAAAACAUCAUUACAUAAUAAAACAUAAAUAAUAUAUCAAGUUAUAAGUGGAUAUUCUCCUCAUAUUACAAAUAGGUCAUCAAUGGUUUUUUAUUUUUAUUUUGAGAUAAAUAUUUUAAUAUGACAAAAAAUAUUGUUAUAUUUUUAUGUUUGACCAAAAAUUUAUUACCAAUUAAAUAAAAUAUUUUUAUGGAUGUAAAUAUAUUUAAACUACAUUUUAUUUAUUUUUAAUACAAUUUUAUAAUUUUAUAAAAAUAAAAUAUGAAAAUAUCCGUAGCAUCCGCCAAACGAACACCACAAAUCUGUUUCUUGCGUCAGCGUCAACUUCCGGCGUUUUCCUAACGAACAACAAUCUGCGUCGGCGUCUGCAAAACAAACAACAACCAAACGAACAUGACGUAGCCGCUGCAGCCGACGCCGACACCGCCGCAGCUGCAGAAGGCUGCGGCAACCAAACGAACAGGGCUAUUGAGAGUAUGUUCUCUUGUUUGCACAUUCCUCAUUUUACUUCAAAUGUUUGAAACCGCCCCGCACCGCACCGCAGUUAACAGUAACAAAAAUCUCUGCAUAUACCAUAUAUCUAUAUAUUUUUAUAACUGUUAAAACCGCACCGCAGUUGAACCGCUUGUCCCGCCCCGCUUAAACCGCAGUUACCAUUCGGAGCCUUAAUGUUUUUACGAAAUACCCUCAUCGAAAAGCAGCUGCCUAGGCGUUGUUCGGAGGUUGACCGCGGCAAAUAUGUCCAAAUCGGUAUAGCUAGGCAUUGAUCCGCGUUGACCCGCAUAAGAUCACCUAAUUCCCGUAUUAACCGCCUAAGUUUUUUUUUCGUCUGUGUAAAAUUGAAACACGGUUGAUUAUUUUUUAAUCAUUAUUGACAUAUUUUGUGUAAUUAUUCAUUACUAAAUAAUUAUAAUUAGCUAUCAAACCCAAAACAAACACAUACAUAUUGCAUUUAGAGAUUUUUUCGUACCAAACACACCAUUUACGAAUCAAAAAGAAGCUUUUUAAAAUUAUAUAUAAAAAGUUAUAUAAUUAUUUCUAAAAAUUUGUGUUGUUUAAAAUUAGCUAAAUAUAUUUUUAAUAUAUUAAAUUGUAUUUAAAACUAGGUUCUGCGUAAUCUCCGAGUACUCUCCGAUUUUUCGAUAACUUGUUAGAUCUGGAGUUGCCACCUGACUACCGCGUAGCGUAGUUCCGAAAUGGGUGAAAUAGCAACAUAAUUAUUGUAGAUUUGUCGUAGACCAAUCUCUUUUAUAAAUAUAUGAUGAUUAAUCAUAUAGAAAACGAGAACAUUUGAUAAUAAGUGCGAGAACUUAAUCUCUUCUUUGCGAGUCUAACCUGAUCAAUCAAUCAACAGGCAACACAAGCAAAGAUCGAUCUACCUAUUGAACACAAAAGAAUUGUUAACCCGGUCGUUCACCACAAAACGCGUCUAGUUCACACGCUUUGCUCUUGAGGGUACAUUCUGUUUGUUUGGUUGCCGCAGCCAUCUGCAGCUGCAGCUGCGUCAAUUGUAUUUUUCAAAUCUUGUUCGUUUCGUUGACGCCGUUACUGCAUGUCUGCAAAAUCUGGACGCUGGAAUUAUCUGCGGUUGAGUAAAAAAAGCUGUGUUUACUUACUGUAUUUACGAUUUUACCCUUGACCUAAUUAAUUAUUUGCAAAAAAAAACAUAACUCCAUUGAGGUAGCCGCUCUUUCUUCGAUAGACGCAUCUAGAACUCCAUUGACGCAUCUCAAGCUCCGACGAACUCCAUGACGCAUCUUCGAGCUCCUACAUCUCCGAGCUCUCUCUCUUGAUCUCUGACAUCUCCGAGCUCUCUCUCUCUCGAUCUCCGACGCAAACCCAAUGCUCUCUCUCUCUGACGCAGACCUCAGCUCGAGCUCUCUUCUCCGGCUCGAGCUCUCUCAUCUUCGGCUCGAGCUCUCUCAUCUCAUCUCUGACGCUGACCACGAGCUCUCUCAUCUCCUCCGAUUUUGGUUUCAA